rnacentral:rRNA from 1 species
AAUCAACGCUGGCGGCGUGCCUAACACAUGCAAGUCGAGCGAGAAAAGGGGAGCAAUCCCCUGAGUACAGCGGCGCACGGGUGAGUAACACGUGGGUAAUCUGCCCUGGAGUGGGGAAUAACACCGGGAAACCGGUGCUAAUAACGCAUACGAUCACAGAGUCUGCGGAUUUUGUGAUGAAAGGAGCAAUUCGCUCUAGGAGGAGCCCGCGGCUGAUUAGCUAGUUGGUGAGGUAAUGGCUCACCAAGGCAACGAUCAGUAUCCGGUCUGAGAGGACGGACGGACACACUGGAACUGAGACACGGUCCAGACUCCUACGGGAGGCAGCAGUGGGGAAUUUUUGGCAAUGGGGGCAACCCUGACCAAGCAACGCCGCGUGGGUGAUGAAGUCUCUUGGGACGUAAAACCCUUUCGACGGGGACGAAAGCCGCAAGGUUUGACGGUACCCGUAGAAGAAGCCCCGGCUAACUCCGUGCCAGCCGCCGCGGUAAUAC